rnacentral:rRNA from 1 species
UGCGCAGGCGGUUUGUUAAGCGAGAUGUGAAAGCCCUGGGCUCAACCUAGGAAUAGCAUUUCGAACUGGCGAACUAGAGUCUUGUAGAGAGGGGUAGAAUUCCAGGUGUAGCGGUGAAAUGCGUAGAGAUCUGGAGGAAUACCGGUGGCGAAGGCGGCCCCCUGGACAAAGACUGACGCUCAUGCACGAAAGCGUGGGGAGCAAACA